UCAGGAGUGACGCUGCGGCGUAGCUUAACACAUGCAAGUCGAACGGCUCAUACUUGAACCUAGUGAUGUAUGAGUUAGUGGCGGACGGGUGAGUAACGCGUGGAGAACCUGCCGUAUACUGGGGGAUAACACUUAGAAAUAGGUGCUAAUACCGCAUAAGCGCACAGCUUCGCAUGAAGCAGUGUGAAAAACUCCGGUGGUAUACGAUGGAUCCGCGUCUGAUUAGCUGGUUGGCGGGGUAACAGCCCACCAAGGCGACGAUCAGUAGCCGGCCUGAGAGGGUGAACGGCCACAUUGGGACUGAGACACGGCCCAAACUCCUACGGGAGGCAGCAGUGGGGAAUAUUGCACAAUGGGGGAAACCCUGAUGCAGCGACGCCGCGUGAGUGAAGAAGUAUUUCGGUAUGUAAAGCUCUAUCAGCAGGGAAGAAAUAUGACCUUACGGUCAGCAGACGGUACCUGACUAAGAAGCCCCGGCUAACUACGUG
rnacentral:rRNA from 1 species